rnacentral:tRNA from 1 species
AGCAGUUUGGCCAAGUGGAAAGAGCAUUGGCCUGGGAGCCAGAGCACCUGGGUUCUAAUCCCAGUUCUGCCA